GAUGAGCGCUGGCGGCGUGCCUAAUACAUGCAAGUCGAGCGAACGGACGAGAAGCUUGCUUCUCUGAUGUUAGCGGCGGACGGGUGAGUAACACGUGGAUAACCUACCUAUAAGACUGGGAUAACUUCGGGAAACCGUAGCUAAUACCGGAUAAUAUUUUGAACCGCAGGGUUCAAAAGUGAAAGACGGUCUUGCUGUCACUUAUAGAUGGAUCCGCGCUGCAUUAGCUAGUUGGUAAGGUAACGGCUUACCAAGGCAACGAUGCAUAGCCGACCUGAGAGGGUGAUCGGCCACACUGGAACUGAGACACGGUCCAGACUCCUACGGGAGGCAGCAGUAGGGAAUCUUCCGCAAUGGGCGAAAGCCUGACGGAGCAACGCCGCGUGAGUGAUGAAGGUCUUCGGAUCGUAAAACUCUGUUAUUAGGGAAGAACAUAUGUGUAAGUAACUGUGCACAUCUUGACGGUACCUAAUCAGAAAGCCACGGCUAACUACGUG
rnacentral:rRNA from 1 species